ensembl:lncRNA
UUUUUUUUUUUUUUUUUUUUUGAGUUUGCCAGAAGGAAGAAAGAGCCAGGGCAGGGGUUUGUUACUGGAAAAAGGGUCUUGUCCCAGACACCAAGAGUGGGUUCUUGGAUCUCUCACGGGAAAGAAUUCAGGGUCUUUAUUUAGUUAGCCUCACUAACUUAUUCCCUCAACCUUAAAUAUCUUGUGAGCAGGACUGCCCAAUCCCCUGGGAAUAGAACCCAGCAGGUUUGGCUUUAUCCAGCCUCUAUUCAGGAUGGGGGCACUCUGGUUAGGAUGACUCUGACAGGUUCACUGCAGCACCAGUCGAGCGCUCCUCCAGAGCUAAGAGCAGGAGAGGCAAGGCCACUCCAAAACACAGGAACCGCCAGACUUGAAGGGUCAACAGCAAGAUUCCAGCAGGAACUAUGAGAUCUGAAACCGCCAGUUAUUAGGGGGUGUUACCACAGGAAGGCGCUAAAGUCAGCCUAUGACACAAAGCAGAGGACUUGCAACCAAGGGCUUAAAAUUUCUUAAAAACAAAGAAUAAGAGUUGUUUGUAUACUUGUUGGCAAUUUUUGAAACUUUUUAUUCAUGCUAAGUAUCUGGACAUUAAAAAUAUUAUAAAGAAAUUAACCUUGGUACAUUUUCACAUAUUUUGAUCAGUUUCUGAGUUGUACCUGUGUAUAAUACUGGUUAAUGGCAUUUCUCUAAAGACUUUUCAUUUGGUGAGUAAACCAAGAUUAAAAUUGUAAGCCCCCCAACUGACUGAAUGGACCCCCCUAGUCAAGAGGAUUCCAAAGAAACCUGAAAAACCAGUUCCUGCCACGGUGAGAAGUGGGGUCAGACAUGCCUCAUUACACCCACUGCCUUUUGGAGUUUAGCACAACUGACCAGCGUUCACAUUAAAACAGAGAUCCUAAGACUCACUGAACAGACUCUUUGUAGCAACCAGACACCAAUGUCAACCUGACUCAGCUACAACAUCAUGACACAUAACAGACCCUAAAGGAAAUCAAACUAUUUUACCCCCAAAAUAGGUUUCUUUGAUAUAUUCUGAAAUGGCCUUGAAAAGCUGUCUCUUGUAGGGGAAAUUUACAUUUUGUAGAGAAUCUCCUUCCCUUUCCAGGUCUUUUCCUGAUUCAGGAGCAAGUUAACUGGGUCUGACACGUUUUAAGGUAUGAUAAGAGAUAUUUACCAUCUGUUCUCUCUGACGCCUUCUCCCUGAACCUUAACUUCCACAACUCCUCCACCCCCACUGCCACCCCAACGCUUACUUUAAUUCAAGCUGAUGUCAACUCUCCAGGUAUAGCUUAACUCUUUCAAUCAACUGCCAACCAGGAAAGCUUUGAAUCCACCUGUGACCUGGAAGCCCCUUCCCACCUGCUUCAAGAUGUCCCGCCCUUUUUAGCUGAACCAAUGUAUAUCUUAAAUGUAUUAAUCUAUGUCACUGCCUGUCACUACUGUCUCCCUAAAAUGUAUAAAAUCAAGCUAUAACCCAGUCACCUUGGGCACAUGCUCUCAGGACCUCCUGAAGCUGUAUAACUGGCCAUGGCCCUCAACUUUGGCAAAAUAAACCUCUAAAUCCGUUUAGACCUGUCUCAUACUUUUUGGUUUACAGGUAUCAUUAUCAUUAAUUUUCUUUCACAAAAUUGCCAGCAAUAUUAUUCAAAGUGGCAUUUUGCAGUUACUACCUUUGAGAGCUUUUUGACUCCUUCAUUUGACCUUCUCUGUAGAUCAUGUUAUUUCAAAUUGAGAAAGUUCUCCCUUUAUGGGCCCUGAGGUACCUGGAGAGCACCAAGCAAAUUCUAUAAAUGAUGGGUAUUUUCAAUUCUACUUUCUUUGGUAUUAAAUGUGUAAAUAUUUCAGUCCCAAUAUCCUCCCAGUUACUGCCUUUUGCCCCUGCCCUCAUCUCUCAGGCUUGUCCUUGCUGUGAGCUUCAGAGCAGGUGGACUGAUCUCACCAUGCCCUUCGCAUGUUGCUGUGACACGGCUCAGGGCCCAGGCCUCCCCGGACUCUGACCUGCAUGCUUCCGCACACAUCCUUUAUCUGACUUUAUUUCUCCCUCUUCCAAGCUCUGGAAACCUUUCCCAAGUACCAUUGAGAAUAGAGUUGUCCAUAGGAAAGAGAAUGACAGUCAUAUAUAUAAUUUCAAAUUAUCCAGUGACCAUAUUUAAAAAGCAAAAAGAAACAGAUAAAAUUGCCUUAAAUAUAUUUUAAUUCAAUAUAUUAAGAAAUUAUUAUUUCAAUAUACAACCUGGCUGGGUACAGUGGCUCACACCUAUAACGCCAGCACUUUAGGAGACUGAGGCAGGAGGAUUACUUGAGCCCAAGAGUUCAAUACCAGCCUGGGCAACAAAGUUAGAUCUCAUCUCCACAAAAAAUAAAAAUAUUAGCCGGGAGUGGUGGCACACACCUGUGGUCCUAGCUACUUGGGAGGCUGAGUGGGACCAUAGGUAUGCACCACCAUGGCCAGCUAAUUUUUUUGAUUUUUAGUAGAGAUGGGGUAUUGCUGUGUUGCUCAGGCUGGUCUCAAACUCCAGAGCUCAAGUGAUCCUUCCACCUUGGCCUCCCAAAGUGCUGGGAUUACAGGCCUGAGACACCAUACUCAGCCAAGAAAUUAUUAAUGAGACAUUUUAUAUUCUUUUAUUGUCCUGAAAAUCCAGUGUGUAUUUUAUACUUUUGGCACAUCCCAUUUCAAAUGAGCCACAUUUUCAGUGCUCAGUAGCUGUAUGUACUGGUAGUUGCCACAUGGGACCUCGGUGCUUUGAGUGUGGUCCAAAGACCAGCAGCAGCAUCACCUGUGACCUUGUUAGAAAUGCAGAAACACUACAUCUCAGAACUUAAAGUAAAAUAAUAAUAAUAAUAAUAAUAAUAAUAAAGCAGAGACCCAGGCUCCACUCAAGACCUGCUGAAUCAGGAUGUGUAUUUUAACAAGACUCCCCAGGCGACAUGGCUGCACAUUAAAGUUUGAGACACUCUGGGCUGGAAGACACAGUCAGUCCUCAGUAGAAUCCCCCAUAUCCUCCACUUUUUCCUGAACAUCCCCAUCACCUGCCUGGUCUUGCUGAAAC